rnacentral:piRNA from 1 species
UAAAGGGAAACAGACGGAAGGAAGAGG